AUAUAUAAUGGAUAUCUAUGUGCUUUAUAAGGAAACAGACGUAGUCUGAUUAUAUCAGCGUGUCUGUUUUUGUGCAAUAUAAAAAGAACCUGAGUAAUUUUACCAGGUUCUUUCUUAA
rnacentral:sRNA from 1 species